rnacentral:rRNA from 1 species
CAGCACCUCAAGUGGUCAGGAUGAUUAUUGGGCCUAAAGCAUCCGUAGCCGGCGCUGUAAGUUUUCGGUUAAAUCUGUACGCUCAACGUACAGGCUGCCGGGAAUACUGCAGCGCUAGGGAGUGGGAGAGGUAGACGGUACUCGGUAGGAAGGGGUAAAAUCCUUUGAUCUAUUGAUGACCACCUGUGGCGAAGGCGAUCUACCAGAACACGUCCGACGGUGAGGGAUGAAAGCUGGGGGAGCAAACCGGAUUAGAUACACGAGUAGUCC